UUUGCAAAAGGAGCGUUCGGUCAUCUUCGCUCUAGUCGCCCCGCCUUCUCCCCUUGCGCCGGGCUCAAACCCCUAGCCCCCGACGAACCCGACCUAGGGUUUCCGCUUCCAGCAUGCCCCGCUGCUGACCUACCAACUUCCAUGGCGCUGGCAUCCUUGUCCCUGCCAUGGACACGGACGCACAACUCCGCUUUAAUUGCCGCAAGCGCUGCCUACCGGCUGACGGUCGCCUCGACGACCACUGGCGCGGCCAGCAGCGCAAGCGCCGCGGCGUCCGCGUCCUCGUUCCCGACUGCUUCCUCGUGCCCCCGCCGGAAGCCAAAUCCGCUGAUUUCGACAUGUGGGACUACAUCCGCAGCAUCCCGGACAUGUGGGACAACGGCCUGAGGCUGCUUAAGGACUGGGUCCGUGCGUCCAAGGAUGUGCCGCAGGAUCCGCCGGAUCUCACGUAUCUCACCAAGAACAACGAUGUGAAGCCAGGGCGCCUGGUGGGGAGUUGGAAAAUAGAGAACUCCAGGAAGGUCGCCUUGAAGGCGGUGAAACCGCGUUGGAAGGAUCUCCUCGAGGAGACGAGACAUAAUGACAAGAGGUUGCGCGAGAUCGGCGACGAGGUGGCCUUUCUGGAGAAGACGCUUGAGGAGCAGAGGAAGCUGGCUGAGCCGCCUAAGGAGGAUCUGUCUCAAUUCUUUGUACCUCUAACUGCUGAAGAUGAAAAGGAAGUUCAGGAUUGUUUGUAUGGUAAUGGUUCAAGUAGCAAAGUCCUGGUGCUGCAUGAACCGUCUAACAUUGAGGUUAGCAGGGAAAAAUUUCGGUGUUUGAGACCACAUGGUUGGUUAAAUGAUGAGGUCAUUAAUUUGUACCUUGAAUUGUUAAAGGAGAGGGGAAUAAGAGAACCAAAAAGGUUCUUGAAAUGCCAUUUCUUCAAUACAUUUUUUUAUAAGAAGAGGUCACCGGCGUGGAGGGUUUCAGCGGCGGCGCAUCGGUGGGGUCGUGCUCAGGCGCAGCCGUGUGCAGAGGAGGCCGGGGCGGCGGUCAAGGCGGCUGCGGAGGUCGUGGCCUCCCGCCGACCAGAGGCGGCCGACCAUGGGUGUGGAUGCGGCAGCAAGGGCCGGCCAUGGACGUGGAGGCGGCGGCGCCGCAGCAAUGCAAGCGGCGCGUGGAGGCGAGGGACGGCCAGUUCCUAGGGUGGCGGCCCCAUCUCAUCUGGUUCCGGCCGGAUCCGGAGUCCGACGGCGGUGUGAAGGCGGUACGGCGGCGAGCUUCUGGCGGCCGCGUGACAUGUACUUGAGAGAGAGAUACGAGGGAAGAGAGAGGGAGAGGAAGGAGAAGCAGGGCGGUGGUUUGGAACUCCGGCAGUCACUGGCGUCGGCCGGAGGUGGCAGGGUCGGGCGCGAGGGGGCGAUGCUCGGGAGGGCAGGGGAGGACAAAGCCCGGUCCACAUGAGGGAGGCCCACCCACAGGGGGUGAAGAGCAGAAAUAAAGAUCAAGGGGUUAUGUGAACCACCAACUUUUUUCAGGGUAGUAAAAUGAACUUUUUUCUAUACUGUGGAAAUAUCUAUUUUUAAGCUAAAUUAUACUUAUGUCACUUUUUCGUGACCAUUAUAGAUACAUCUUUGGUCAUUGAUAUUAGGAAGUUUGAAUAUACCAUGGUUGCCCUCCUGGGUUUCUUAAUUUGAACUUUUACUUGGGGCAUCUGUUUGGAAUACAUUAGAUUGCCCUCCUGAGUAGUCACAAUCAGGAAAGUUUCACUUGAUGCAUGCCAUGGACACACACAUUUUUGAAUGGAGAGUAGUUCUCUGUCAGCCUUAUUUGGUUCCUUUUGUUGUGUUGUUACUUGAUUUGAGACCUUUGAUUGGAAAUUAGACUAGAUAUCAUGCAUUUCGGCCUUGAUUUUCAUUUGGAUAAAAUUGAUUACCAUCUAAUUCAGCCCUGUUUAUUUUCUGAAUUAUUGCUCAGCUUGCUUGUGGAAAAACUGGAUAUGACUA